rnacentral:rRNA from 1 species
CCUACGGGUAGCAGCAGUGAGGAAUAUUGGUCAAUGGGAGGAAUCCUGAACCAGCCAUGCCGCGUGCAGGACGACGGCUCUACGAGUUGUAAACUGCUUUUGUACCGGGGUAAAAUGCUCUACGAGUAGGGUUUUGAAAGUACGGUACGAAUAAGGAUCGGCUAACUCCGUGCCAGCAGCCGCGGUAAUACGGAGGAUCCGAGCGUUAUCCGGAUUCAUUGGGUUUAAAGGGUGCGUAGGUUGUUUUAUAAGUUAGCGGUGAAAUACCGAUGCUCAACAUCGGGGCUGCCGCUGAUACUGUAGGACUAGAGAUCGGAUGCAGCAGGCGGAAUGUGUAGUGUAGCGGUGAAAUGCAUAGAUAUCGCGCAGAACUCCGAUUGCGAAGGCAGCAUGCCGGCUCCACACUGACGCUGAGGCACGAAAGCGUGGGUAUCGAACAGGAUUAGAUACCCGAGUAGUC